ensembl:lncRNA
AAAUUUAGUCACUGAAGGAUUCCAUCCCCUCACUCCAUCCAUCCAAACGUCUGGUUAGCACUUUUGACUCACACCUCCAGGGUCGGGGGUUCGAUUCCCACCGUGGCCCUGUGUGUGCGGAGUUUGCAUGUUCUCCCCGUGCUGCGGGGGUUUCCUCCCCCAGUCCAAAGAAAUGCAUGGUAGGCUGAUUGGCAUGUCCAAAGUGUCUGUAGUGUAUGAAUGGGUGUGUGUGUGUGUGUGUGUGUGUGUGAUGGAUUGGCACCCUGUCCAGGGUGUACCUCGUCUUGUGCCCGAUGCUCCCAUGGAUAGGCUCCAGGUUUCCCUGUGACCCUGAAGGAAGGAUAAGCGGUAGAAGGUGGAUGGAUGGAUGGAAUAUACAAUUGACCUGAGCAGAUCCUUAGACACAGCAGCAUCUGUGACUCUUCGCCCAAUGAAUAAUUAUGGGAUGGUGUCAGUAUCCCUGGGAGAUGUCUCUCCAGAGUCAAAAACUCCCCACUGCAAAGAACCAAUUAAAGCAGAGGCCCAGGUGAGCCCACCUGGUUCUUCAUUAUCCUGCUGUUUUAUCUGCAGCUCAUUCUCGGGGUGCGUCAAGACUCUGCAUAACUUAAAAUGAUUUAACUUCUGCUUAGAG